GACGAACGCUGGCGGCGUGGAUUAGGCAUGCAAGUCGAACGGUAUCAUCCUUUCGGGGGUGAGAGAGUGGCGAACUGGUGAGUAACACGUAGGUUAUCUACCCUCAAGACGGGGACAACCCAGGGAAACUUGGGCUAAUACCGGAUGUGAGCAACUUUUAGUUGUUUGAAAGGUGGCGUAAGCUGUCGCUUGGGGAUGAGCCUGCGUCCUAUUAGUUAGUUGGUGAGGUAACGGCUCACCUAGGCAAUGAUAGGUAGGCGGCCUUAACGGGUGGUCGCCCACACUGGGAUUGAGAUACGGCCCAGACUCCUACGGGAGGCAGCAGUCGAGAAUAGUCUACAAUGGUCGGAAGACUGAUAGUGCGACGCCGCGUGAACGAUGAAUCCCUUCGGGGUGUAAAGUUCUUUUAUAUGUGAGCAGUGCUUCUUAUAUUAACAGUAUGGGGAGAGAGAUAUUAGCAUAUGAAUAAGCAACGGCUAACUCCGUGCCCAGCAGCCGCGGUAAGA
rnacentral:rRNA from 1 species